UCUAAGGCAUUCCCACCCUGAACAUGCCUGAUUUCUUCUGAUCUCAGGAGCUAGGCAGUGUCUAGCCUGGUUGGUACUUGGAUGAGAGAUUAUAAGAUCAAAACCAAAAAAGUUAGUC
ensembl:rRNA 5S_rRNA 5S ribosomal RNA